CCAAAGAGCGUCUGAGUAAGCUGCAAGUCAUAAUUUUUCUCAGGGAAAGGAACCACAAAUCAUGGGGAGCCCUGCGGAGCCCUCUAAGAAAGAGGAGGUUCAGAAGGACAGAGGCUUGCGGUCAGCGCUGCGGGGAGAGAGAAGCCAUGGAGUGAUAUAAGCUUGACAAGAUGGAGGCGUGGAUCCAUCUACUUUUCAAAGAAGUGAUGUAUAAGGAGAAGCAGUAGGAGUCAUCGGGUGACAAGAGUUGGGAGGGCAGUAUAUUCAGAGCGGUCAAGACAAUGGACAAUCUCUGUAAGCCGGAAGGAGGAGAUUUUACUUGUCCUCGGUUUCUGUCUUGCUAGUGGCAACGACAACCACAUGCAAAAGAUGUUCCACGUGUGUCAGCUGCUUUGCACGUCCCCGGAAUUAACUGAUGGCAGCCCCAGAGCAUGGAGAUCCUUUUUUCUUGAUGAUACCUCCGAGAUCCACGAGGAACUAGAAGGAAAGGAAGAUUGGCACAGAACAAGACAGACAAGCAGAUAAACCUUCAUGGAUGUGUGUGAAUACAAACAGAAACUAACAUAUUGGCUAUAUUUGGCCAAAUGGUAAAAAUAUCACCCUAUCAAUGUGAGCCGGUACAAAGAACAUCAUGACCAGCUCAACGUAGAUUCUAUAACACAGGACAGGAGAAAAUAAUUUAUCACACAUAGGAAAUAAGGAAACUCAAAGAGGCCUUGAAAGCCUACAAGGAAACCCUCACAGCCUAGCUACUUGGUCAGGUUUGCAGAGGUAGCUGUAGAAACCACUGAGCUGCUGAUUAUCCUCUGAGAAGAUGCUAGAGGAAGAGAGGGAGGAUCACAGAAGAGCUGCCAUUUUAAUCAGUGCUCCCAGGGAAGUGGCUGGUCAGAGCAGCAGGAGGCAAAUGAGGAGAAUGUAUGUGACCCUAAAGCUGAAGGAGGAUCGAGUUCAAGGAGAAAAUAGUCCCUCACGAGACACGCCCAACCAAUAAAACUAAUGGGAGCUUGGGAGAGAAAAAGUCAAGGCAAAGAGGGUUAGCCAAGGUUACAGCUUGGAGAGGAGAUCAAGUUCAGUAAACUUGGAUGGAACCAUAAAAGUAAAGAAAGAAGAGAAAUAUUGGCCAGUAAAGGAAAGAUAAUAAAACUGAUGGUUGAGAAGGAAUAGAGAAGAUCGACUCAGUCCCUCCCGACUGUGACCCCAGGGAAAGGACCUGGAUAAUGAUAGGUCAACCUGGGGCAGAGGCAGCGGCUCUUCUGGGGGUAGGAAGCAUUCCCCUAACAGAAAAGAGGCUGGCACAGUGCUUACACCAUGUGCUCAGAAAAGGAUGGGGCCUCCUGGAUGGAAAGUCUGAGGUCAGGUGGUUGUCCUAGGAGCCAGAGCACUUUGGGAGAAGCUGCCAGCAUCACUUACACACACGCACUUGGGGGAAUUUCAGCUGUCCCCAAAGUACCCCUUAAUUUGAAAACAAUGAGGAAGCAGGUCAGCGGGACUCAUCACUUGGCAAAACAUGACUCUGUGUGGCCUUGAAGUGUCUGGGCUGUGUUGCUACAGGCUCCAAUUAGGUAUAAGAAAUGGUUGUGCCAGCUGGGGAAGAAGCCAAGCAACUCAUCAUUCCUGUCUAAUCCACAGAAGGGGCUCCUUUGGCCCCAGGCACGGAAGGACCAAAGGCACCAUUCAUCAGACAGAGUUUUCCAUGCAGGAGGGAGCCCACAGAUAGUGAAGCUAUUGCUCCUUGUCAGAGAAGCUUCUCUCUAUAGAGAAUGGAAACCAUUGCAAAAAACCAUUACAGAAAACCACAACUGGACUUAAUGCAGAGCUCAAUGGAUUGUGGAGAGCCCCAUCCCGGAUAAUACAUCUGUAGCAUAGCUCCUGCCUCUACGACUUGGGGAAUAUCCAGGAAAAGAGGGCAGAAAGAUGUAAGGGCCAGAAUACCAGGAAGUUUGCCGUGAGACUGCCUCCCGCAGAAAUGGUUGCAGAAACAAGACCUGCACUGUGAACACAUCAGUUGACAUGGAAGGAGAAAAACUCACUGGAGGGAGCUCACCCUAGACAAGGAACUACAGGAUCUCAGGACCUAAGACACCCAGAAGUCAAUCACAGGGCAACUUCCGCCACUGACCUGUUCUUGACCCAGACAAAGCAAGUAUCUGUGCUCUGCCCUGUCCUUUCCUGGGGAACUUGUUGGAAGGUGAAUGUCCUGAAAGCUGUAUUCAUGGCCAUGGCUCCUCUUUGAGGAGUCUUCUCUAAGGAAAGAGGAAUUUGUUUGGCUACUGAUGCUGCCUGAGGCUGUUAGGGAAACUGUCAUUGGACCCACCAGACUCCCUGCAGCUGAUCUCCCUUGGUCCCCAGGCAGUUAAGCAUCUGCCCACCACCACGACAGGAGGAAGGGGAAGAAACAACUCAAGGCAGCCUGCUGCGUUUGUCUGAUAACUUUUGCACUUGUUUUACGGAAACUGCAUCUGCACAUAAUAUUACUUAUACACAGACUUAACUAUUUCCAAAGCCAAGAGGAAGUCUGUAUGCACAGCUCUUGGAGUCAACUACAAUUGGCUAUGUCAGCUCCUGCU
rnacentral:lncRNA from 1 species